rnacentral:lncRNA from 1 species
GUCUCUGCUCUCAAAUGAAGCCAAAAUAUUUGAACAUCUAAAACUAUAUGGAGAAAAGUCAAAAGUGAAGCCAAAGUCAGAAAAGGAAGCGUAGCUUUACACGCAUGAUAAACAUUCCAGAAUUUCAAACGAUUUCCAAAAUUUUAUAAAACAGAACCGAAAGAUUCCAAAUGGACAGUUAAUUUCAAUUAAUCAAUAUCUGUAUUUGUAAGCCGAUACAGAUAUACUAGCUUCUGGAAUGGAGAUACCAUCGAUGACUAUGAAGAUUGAAUGGAAC